rnacentral:rRNA from 1 species
AAGGAAUAUUGGUCAAUGGACGCAAGUCUGAACCAGCCAUGCCGCGUGGAGGAUGAAGGCCCUCUGGGUUGUAAACUUCUCUUAUCUGGGACGAAAAAGGGCCUUUCUAGGUCAACUGACGGUACCAGAGGAAUAAGCACCGGCUAACUCCGUGCCAGCAGCCGCGGUAAUACGGAGGGUGCAAGCGUUAUCCGGAUUCACUGGGUUUAAAGGGUGCGUAGGUGGGUUGGUAAGUCAGUGGUGAAAUCUCCGAGCUUAACUUGGAAACUGCCAUUGAUACUAUCAGUCUUGAAUAUUGUGGAGGUCAGCGGAAUAUGUCAUGUAGCGGUGAAAUGCUUAGAUAUGACAUAGAACACCAAUUGCGAAGGCAGCUGGCUACGCAUAUAUUGACACUGAGGCACGAAAGCGUGGGGAUCAAAC